GAUGAACGCUAGCGGCAGGCCUAAUACAUGCAAGUCGAACGGUAACAUGAGUAGCAAUACUUGAUGACGAGUGGCGCACGGGUGCGUAACGCGUAUGCAAUCUACCUUUAACUGGUGAAUAGCCCGAAGAAAUUCGGAUUAAUACACCAUAGUAUAUUGAGGAGGCAUCUCCUUAAUAUUAAAACUCCGGUGGUUAAAGAUGAGCAUGCGUGACAUUAGCUAGUUGGUGAGGUAACGGCUCACCAAGGCAACGAUGUCUAGGGGAUCUGAGAGGAUUAACCCCCACACUGGAACUGAGACAGGGACCAGACUCCUACGGGAGGCAGCAGUAAGGAAUAUUGGACAAUGGUCGCAAGACUGAUCCAGCCAUGCCGCGUGAAGGAUGACGGCCCUAUGGGUUGUAAACUUCUUUUGUACGGGAAAAAACCCUUCUACGUGUAGAGGGCUGAUUGUACCGUAAGAAUAAGGAUCGGCUAACUCCGUGCCAGCCGCCGCGGUAA
rnacentral:rRNA from 1 species